AUUAACAGAAACAAUAAGAGCAAAGCAGUCGAAUCCUAGCUUGGAUCAGACUUAAUAAAUUCCAAUGGAGAACUCUUAAGCUGAAAAUAACUAAACUUAGGAAAGUGAUUCAAUUGUCUCGGAAAAAGGAAGGAUCAGAAAGAUAUACAAUUCUUAAGCGGAAAAGAACCAAAUUUAAGAAAGCCAUAUAGUCUCCUCAAAAGAAGAAAGGCCAGAUCUUUAUUCCCAUGGUACAAUACUAAGGAAAACAGGGAUCGGAUUCUUCUUGUUAGAAAGUCUCGUGCAUAUGAGACAACAAAUAUAUUCUUCAGUGCUAAGAUUAUAGAACAAGAGAUGAAAAAUCAGUCAGCCUCU